CGUCGAUGGGCGGGAUUUCAACAGCUGGCCAUAGUCUGCUCUUUACCUUUUCCAAAUCUGACCGUGGACUGACACAGGAGCAACUAAUACUAAAACUUUAGCCUUGGACUGUUAACGAGUUGGUUGAGUUUUCGAGAACUGUCUAAAUUCAUGAUUGAAUCCACGAUCAUUUUUGAAGGACUUGUGAGCGAGCUGCACGUUGUUUAUCUUCUGAACCCCUUCCGACGCGAUCAUGAACCAUGAGUUCUCUCGAUGACGAUGGUCUUGGCUUCUUUGACGGGUGAUGUCAUCUGGUAGUCGUCGCCCAGCAGACCAAGCAGAGGACCUCUUCCUGUCGGGUGAUGGUGGUCUGUCGCUGAUCCAACAUGGCGAGCAGCUCUGAGAUUUUCAGCUGGAGACUCUUAUCUGAGGACGACUUGGAGCUGCUGCUGACCUCGGUCUGGAUCGUCGUUAUCUGCGACUGGAGGGAGGAUGGAGAGAGAUGAGGGACAUUUAAGUUGUUCUUACAAGACAUGUUAAGAUAUAACUUGUGUCUCUUUAGCUGAUUUUCUUUUUUGUCUUUUUGUUUGCCUUGGAUAUAAAACUAACGUCACUGAACAUACACAGGAUAUUCUCUCAACACAUUACCGUUUUCCUGAAAGGCAAGAUAGACAAAACAGUUGAAUAUGAUAUACUGAACAAGAGUGGUUCAACGUGUUUUUAGGUACAAACUAGCAUGCUAACAUUUGCUAAUGAGCACUGAACACAAAGUACAGCUGAGGCUGAUGGGAAUGUCAUUAGCCUUGCAGGUAUUUGCCAAUAAAUUAAAGUAUUGCACAAAUUUAAAUACUGACCUGAUGACGGCGCUUUCCCCAAGUAUUCACAAAUCACCCUAAAGAGGACACAACUUUCUGAACCACAUUUCAUGGCAAUUUAUCCAACAGUCUUGUUUUAUUCUCACCCGCAGCCUCUGUAUCUCCUGGUCUUUUUCUUCCCUCAUGGAGUUGAGCUGCUCCUUGUACUGACGUGACAACUCCUCUGUCUUGAUAUGCAGGGUGGAGCUGCUGCCUUGGCCUGCCAGCUGAAGGACAGAUAGAUGAGGAAGGAAGAAAAGAGAAAGAAAAUCAUCAUCCCAGCUGCAGAGUUAACAUCAUCUGCCUACUAUUUUUUUAUUUAAUUUAUUAACUCCCCUCUAGAUUUGUCCCAAAUGACAGAUGGCAAUAACAGAGGCACUUUAUUUCAGGUUGCUUCUAAAAGUCAAAUAUCACAUAACUGACCACCUUACAACAUCAUAUGCUGCCAUAUUAUAUAUUUUUUUCUCUAAUUAGGAAAAUGAGGUUGAUCAGAAUAAAUCGUCAUUCUUUAAGUAAGUUUAUACCAUUUGAAUGGUUUAGAUAAACCUUUAACAAUGACAAUAUAGAAUACCUCUAAUGCUUCUUCCAGAUACUCUGUGUGUAUGGGCCUGUCUUAUUUCCCAACUUUGUGCCUCCUCGAUCCCUCAACUCCUUGUGGCGCGUGUUAGUCCCUCCCACCCGAGAUGCGAGCUCAAGGAGUCAAGGAGGAGACGUGAGGAGAGACGAGUCGAGAAAACAGGCAUUUAGCGAAAGGAGAUGUCCUUGUCUCGACAAUUAAAUAUGACCUGCUGCACAGCUGCAUCAUCUGUCCACUAUUUAAGCUGUGUAUCUCUGUCAGAGCAGCCGACCAGCUUUUGCCACUAAAGGCUACAGAUCAUAUCUUCACAAUCCAGAAACAUGUCUGUCAACAUU